GAAACGACUGCUAAUACCGCAUGACGCAUAGAGGUCGCAUGAUCUUUAUGCCAAAGAUUUAUCGCUUCAAGAUGGCCUCGCGUCUGAUUAGCUGGUUGGCGGGGUAACGGCCCACCAAGGCGACGAUCAGUAGCCGGACUGAGAGGUUGAACGGCCACAUUGGGACUGAGAUACGGCCCAGACUCCUACGGGAGGCAGCAGUGGGGAAUAUUGGGCAAUGGGCGCAAGCCUGACCCAGCAACGCCGCGCGAAGGAAGAAGGCUUUCGGGUUGUAAACUUCUUUUAAGAGGGAAGAGCAGAAGACGGUACCUCUAGAAUAAGCCACGGCUAACUACGUGCCAGCAGCCGCGGUAAUACGUAGGUGGCAAGCGUUGUCCGGAUUUACUGGGUGUAAAGGGCGUGCAGCCGGGUCUGCAAGUCAGAUGUGAAAUCCAUGGGCUCAACCCAUGAACUGCAUUUGAAACUGUGGAUCUUGAGUGUCGGAGGGGCAAUCGGGAUUCCUAGUGUAGCGGUGAAAUGCGUAGAUAUUAGGAGGAACACCAGUGGCGAAGGCGGAUUGCUGGACGAUAACUGACGGUGAGGCGCGAAAGUGUGGGGAGCAAACAGGAUUAGAUACCCUGGUAGUCCACACUGUAAACGAUGAAUGCUAGGUGUGCGGGGACUGACCCCCUGCGUGCC
rnacentral:rRNA from 1 species